UACGUAGGGGGCAAGCGUUGUCCGGAUUUAUUGGGCGCAAAGAGCGUGUAGGCGGUUAGGUAGGUCCGUUGUGAAAACUCGAGGCUCAACCUCGAGACGCCGAUGGAAACCAUCUGACUAGAGUCCGGAAGAGGAGAGUGGAAUUCCUGGUGUAGCGGUGAAAUGCGCAGAUAUCAGGAAGAACACCCGUGGCUAAGGCGGCUCUCUAGUACGUGACUGACGCUGAGACGCGAAAGCGUGGGGAGCGAACAGG
rnacentral:rRNA from 1 species